rnacentral:rRNA from 1 species
UACGUAGGGCGCAAGCGUUAUCCGGAAUUAUUGGGCGUAAAGAGCUCGUAGGCGGUUCGUCGCGUCUGCCGUGAAAGUCCGGGGCUCAACUCCGGAUCUGCGGUGGGUACGGGCAGACUAGAGUGAUGUAGGGGAGACUGGAAUUCCUGGUGUAGCGGUGAAAUGCGCAGAUAUCAGGAGGAGCACCGAUGGCGAAGGCAGGUCUCUGGGCAUUAACUGACGCUGAGGAGCGAAAGCAUGGGGAGCGAACAGG